UACGAAGGGGGCGAGCGUUGUUCGGAAUUACUGGGCGUAAAGGGCGCGUAGGCGGCGACCCAAGUCAGAUGUGAAAGUCCUGGGCUUAACCUGGGGACUGCAUUUGAUACUGGGUUGCUUGAAUUCGGGAGAGGAUAGCGGAAUUCCCAGUGUAGAGGUGAAGUUCGUAGAUAUUGGGAAGAACACCGGUGGCGAAGGCGGCUAUCUGGACCGACAUUGACGCUGAGGCGCGAAAGCGUGGGGAGCAAACAGG
rnacentral:rRNA from 1 species